CUUGCCACAAGGGCACAGCACUUUGGUUCUAUAGAACCAAAGGUUUAUUUUUUUUUUAAAACAGAUCUACACAGGCGUUGCAUGGCUGUCGUCAGUCCGUGGUGCUAUACCGUUUUCGCACAAUUUUGUGCUUCUUACGGACAUCUCCCCUACC
rnacentral:rRNA from 1 species